UGGGGAAUUUUGGACAAUGGGGGAAACCCUGAUCCAGCCAUCCCGCGUGUGCGAUGAAGGCCUUCGGGUUGUAAAGCACUUUUGGCAGGAAAGAAACGUCAUGGGUUAAUACCCCGUGAAACUGACGGUACCUGCAGAAUAAGCACCGGCUAACUACGUGCCAGCAGCCGCGGUAAUACGUAGGGUGCAAGCGUUAAUCGGAAUUACUGGGCGUAAAGCGUGCGCAGGCGGUUCGGAAAGAAAGAUGUGAAAUCCCAGAGCUCAACUUUGGAACUGCAUUUUUAACUAACGGGCUAGAGUGUGUCAGAGGGGGGUGGAAUUCCGCGUGUAGCAGUGAAAUGCGUAGAUAUGCGGAGGAACACCGAUGGAGAAGGCAGCCUCCUGGGAUAACACUGACGCUCAUGCACGAAAGCGUGGGGAGCAAACAGG
rnacentral:rRNA from 1 species